rnacentral:rRNA from 1 species
UAACGCGUGAGGAACCUGCCUCAAAGAGGGGGACAACAGUUGGAAACGACUGCUAAUACCGCAUAAGCCCACGGCUCGGCAUCGAGCAGAGGGAAAAGGAGCAAUCCGCUUUGAGAUGGCCUCGCGUCCGAUUAGCUAGUUGGUGAGGUAAUGGCCCACCAAGGCGACGAUCGGUAGCCGGACUGAGAGGUUGAACGGCCACAUUGGGACUGAGACACGGCCCAG